rnacentral:rRNA from 1 species
AUUUCCCUCUUUCUUCAUGCUUUACACAUGCAAGUCGAACGGUAACAGGCCGCAAGGUGCUGACGAGUGGCGAACGGGUGAGUAAUGCAUCGGAACGUGCCCAGUCGUAGGGUAUAACUACUCGAAAGAGUAGCUAAUACCGCCUACGAUCUCUGGCUGACAGCGGGGGACCGUAAGGCCUCGCCCGAUUGGACCGGCCGAUGUCAGAUUAGGUAGUUGGAGGGGUAAAGGCUCACCAAGCCAACGAUCUGUAGCUGGUCUGAGAGGACGACCAGCCACACUGGAACUGAGACACGGCCCAGACUCCUACGGGAGGCAGCAGUGGGGAAUUUUGGACAAUGGGCGCAAGCCUGAUCCAGCAAUGCCGCGUGGAGGAAGAAGGCCUUCGGGUUGUAAACUGCUUUUGUAGGGAACGAAACGGAGCAGGUUAAUACCCGGGGGUAAUGACGGUACCGUAAGAAUAAGCACCGGCUAACUACGUG